UAGUAACGGCGAGUGAACAGGGAAGAGCUCAAAUUUGUAAUCUGGCGUCCCUUGGGCGUCCGAGUUGUAAUCUAUAGAAGCGUUUUCCGUGCUGGACCAUGUCCAAGUCCCUUGGAACAGGGUAUCAAAGAGGGUGACAAUCCCGUGCUUGACAUGACGACCAGUGCUCUGUGAUACGCUCUCUACGAGUCGAGUUGUUUGGGAAUGCAGCUCAAAAUGGGUGGUGAGUUCCAUCUAAAGCUAAAUAUUGGCGAGAGACCGAUAGCGAACAAGUACCGUGAGGGAAAGAUGAAAAGCACUUUGGAAAGAGAGUUAAACAGUACGUGAAAUUGUUGAAAGGGAAACGAUUGAAGUCAGUCGUGUCCGAGGGGUUCAGCCGGUCAUGCCGGUGUAUUCCCCUCGGACGGGUCAACGUCAGUUUGGACCGGUGGAAAAGGGCGGUUGGAAUGUGGCAGCUCCGGCUGUGUUAUAGCCUUCCGUCGCACACGCCGGUCUAGACUGAGGAAUGCAGCUCGCCUUUAUGGCUGGGGUUCUCCCACAUUCGAGCUUAGGAUGUUGACAUAAUGGC
rnacentral:rRNA from 1 species